rnacentral:rRNA from 1 species
UACGUAGGGUGCGAGCGUUGUCCGGAAUUAUUGGGCGUAAAGGGCUCGUAGGCGGUCUGUUGCGUCCGCUGUGAAAACUCGGGGCUCAACUCCGGGCCUGCAGCCGAUACGGGCAGACUAGAGUUCGGCAGGGGAGACUGGAAUUCCUGGUGUAGCGGUGAAAUGCGUAGAUAUCUGGAGGAACACCGGUGGCGAAGGCGGCAUCCUGGACCGGCAUUGACGCUGAGGCGCGAAAGCCAGGGGAGCAAAGCGGG